UACGUAGGGUGCAAGCGUUGUCCGGAAUUACUGGGCGUAAAGCGUGCGCAGGCGGUUUUGUAAGACUGUCGUGAAAUCCCCGGGCUUAACCUGGGAAUGGCGAUGGUGACUGCAAGGCUAGAGUUUGGCAGAGGGGGGGUAGAAUUCCACGUGUAGCAGUGAAAUGCGUAGAGAUGUGGAGGAACACCGAUGGCGAAGGCAGCCCCCUGGGUCAAAACUGACGCUCAUGCACGAAAGCGUGGGGAGCAAACAGG
rnacentral:rRNA from 1 species